UACAGAGACUGCAAGCGUUAUUCGGAUUCACUGGGCGUAAAGGGUGCGCAGGCGGUUGGGUGUGUCAGAUGUGAAAUCCCGAGGCUUAACCUCGGAACUGCGUCUGAAACUACUCGACUAGAGUACUGGAGAGGGUAACGGAAUUCACGGUGUAGCAGUGAAAUGCAUUGAUAUCAUCAGGAACACCGGUGGCGAAAGCGGCUCACUGGGUCUUUUCUGACGCUGAUGGACGAAAGCUAGGGGAGCGAACGGG
rnacentral:rRNA from 1 species